rnacentral:rRNA from 1 species
UCCUACGGGAGGCAGCAGUGGGGAAUUUUGGACAAUGGGCGCAAGCCUGAUCCAGCAAUGCCGCGUGCAGGAAGAAGGCCUUCGGGUUGUAAACUGCUUUUGUACGGAACGAAACGGCUCUGGUUAAUACCUGGGGCUAAUGACGGUACCGUAAGAAUAAGCACCGGCUAACUACGUGCCAGCAGCCGCGGUAAUACGUAGGGUGCAAGCGUUAAUCGGAAUUACUGGGCGUAAAGCGUGCGCAGGCGGUUUUGUAAGACAGGCGUGAAAUCCCCGGGCUCAACCUGGGAAUGGCGCUUGUGACUGCAAAGCUGGAGUGCGGCAGAGGGGGAUGGAAUUCCGCGUGUAGCAGUGAAAUGCGUAGAUAUGCGGAGGAACACCGAUGGCGAAGGCAAUCCCCUGGGCCUGCACUGACGCUCAUGCACGAAAGCGUGGGGAGCAAACAGGAUUAGAUACCCUGGUAGUCCACGCCCUAAACGAUGUCAACUGGUUGUUGGGUCUCUUCUGACUCAGUAACGAAGCUAACGCGUGAAGUUGACCGCCUU